UUUAUUUAGGUAAGAUUCUAUAGGAUAAUUGUGAUAUCCAAACUGUUAAAAUCACUGGGCCCGACUUAACUAAGUUAUCUCAAUAAGAUUGUGGACUUAGAGGCAUAGAGUUUGGUUGGUACCAUUAGAUGGACUAGAAACAAAUGUUGUUUACCAAACUAUCCAGGAGUUAUAUAUGAUAUAAUUGACAAAGGGUUGUCUACCUAAAUAAUUAUGUUUUGAGAGAAUAGCCAAAGCUAACUUAAGGCAUAAUGAAAUAUGGAUCUUGG
rnacentral:lncRNA from 1 species